rnacentral:rRNA from 1 species
ACGCUGGCGGCAGGCCUAACACAUGCAAGUCGAGCGGAAACGACACUAACAAUCCUUCGGGUGCGUUAAUGGGCGUCGAGCGGCGGACGGGUGAGUAAUGCCUAGGAAAUUGCCUUGAUGUGGGGGAUAACCAUUGGAAACGAUGGCUAAUACCGCAUAAUGCCUACGGGCCAAAGAGGGGGACCUUCGGGCCUCUCGCGUCAAGAUAUGCCUAGGUGGGAUUAGCUAGUUGGUGAGGUAAUGGCUCACCAAGGCGACGAUCCCUAGCUGGUCUGAGAGGAUGAUCAGCCACACUGGAACUGAGACACGGUCCAGACUCCUACGGGAGGCAGCAGUGGGGAAUAUUGCACAAUGGGCGAAAGCCUGAUGCAGCCAUGCCGCGUGUAUGAAGAAGGCCUUCGGGUUGUAAAGUACUUUCAGUUGUGAGGAAGGGGGURKWGUUAAUAGKSYUAUCUCUUGACGUUAGCAACAGAAGAAGCACCGGCUAACUCCGUGCCAGCAGCCGCGGUAAUACGGAGGGUGCGAGCGUUAAUCGGAAUUACUGGGCGUAAAGCGCAUGCAGGUGGUUCAUUAAGUCAGAUGUGAAAGCCCGGGGCUCAACCUCGGAACUGCAUUUGAAACUGGUGAACUAGAGUACUGUAGAGGGGGGUAGAAUUUCAGGUGUAGCGGUGAAAUGCGUAGAGAUCUGAAGGAAUACCAGUGGCGAAGGCGGCCCCCUGGACA